UGAACGCUGGCGGCGUGCCUAACACAUGCAAGUCGAGCGAGACGGUUAUGAAAGAUCCUUCGGGUGAUAGAUUAACUAGAAAGCGGCGGACGGGUGAGUAACGCGUGGGUAACCUGCCCCAUACACAGGGAUAGCCAUUGGAAACGAUGAUUAAUACCUGAUAAUACUAAGACAACACAUGUUGUUUUAGUCAAAGAUUUAUCGGUAUGGGAUGGACCCGCGUCUGAUUAGCUAGUUGGUAAGGUAACGGCUUACCAAGGCGACGAUCAGUAGCCGACCUGAGAGGGUGAUCGGCCACACUGGAACUGAGACACGGUCCAGACUCCUACGGGAGGCAGCAGUGGGGAAUAUUGCACAAUGGGCGCAAGCCUGAUGCAGCAACGCCGCGUGAACGAAGAAGGCCUUCGGGUCGUAAAGUUCUUUUCUUAGGGAAGAAAAAUGACGGUACCUAAGGAAUAAGCACCGGCUAAAUAC
rnacentral:rRNA from 1 species